rnacentral:rRNA from 1 species
AUUAGACGAAUCAUCUGGAAAGAUGAAUCAAAGAAGGUAAUAAUCCUGUAGUCGAAAAUGUUGUCUCUCUUGAGUGGAUCCUGAGUACGACGGAGCACGUGAAAUUCCGUCGGAAUCUGGGAGGACCAUCUCCUAAGGCUAAAUACUCUCUAGUGACCGAUAGUGAACCAGUACCGUGAGGGAAAGGUGAAAAGCACCCCGGAAGGGGAGUGAAAUAGAACCUGAAACCGUGUGCUUACAAGUAGUCAGAGCCCGUUAAUGGGUGAUGGCGUGCCUUUUGUAGAAUGAACCGGCGAGUUACGAUUUGAUGCAAGGUUAAGCAGUAAAUGUGGAGCCGUAGCGAAAGCGAGUCUGAAUAGGGCGUUUAGUAUUUGGUCGUAGACCCGAAACCAGGUGAUCUACCCUUGGUCAGGUUGAAGUUCAGGUAACACUGAAUGGAGGACCGAACCGACUUACGUUGAAAAGUGAGCGGAUGAACUGAGGGUAGCGGAGAAAUUCCAAUCGAACCUGGAGAUAGCUGGUUCUCUCCGAAAUAGCUUUAGGGCUAGCCUCAAGUGAUGAUUAUUGGAGGUAGAGCACUGUUUGGACGAGGGGCCCCUCUCGGGUUACCGAAUUCAGACAAACUCCGAAUGCCAAUUAAUUUAACUUGGGAGUCAGAACAUGGGUGAUAAGGUCCGUGUUCGAAAGGGAAACAGCCCAGACCACCAGCUAAGGUCCCAAAAUAUAUGUUAAGUGGAAAAGGAUGUGGCGUUGCCCAGACAACUAGGAUGUUGGCUUAGAAGCAGCCAUCAUUUAAAGAGUGCGUAAUAGCUCACUAGUCGAGUGACACUGCGCCGAAAAUGUACCGGGGCUAAACAUAUUACCGAAGCUGUGGAUUGUCCUUUGGACAAUGGUAGGAGAGCGUUCUAAGGGCGUUGAAGCAUGAUCGUAAGGACAUGUGGAGCGCUUAGAAGUGAGAAUGCCGGUGUGAGUAGCGAAAGACGGGUGAGAAUCCCGUCCACCGAUUGACUAAGGUUUCCAGAGGAAGGCUCGUCCGCUCUGGGUUAGUCGGGUCCUAAGCUGAGGCCGACAGGCGUAGGCGAUGGAUAACAGGUUGAUAUUCCUGUACCACCUAUAAUCGUUUUAAUCGAUGGGGGGACGCAGUAGGAUAGGCGAAGCGUGCGAUUGGAUUGCACGUCUAAGCAGUAAGGCUGAGUAUUAGGCAAAUCCGGUACUCGUUAAGGCUGAGCUGUGAUGGGGAGAAGACAUUGUGUCUUCGAGUCGUUGAUUUCACACUGCCGAGAAAAGCCUCUAGAUAGAAAAUAGGUGCCCGUACCGCAAACCGACACAGGUAGUCAAGAUGAGAAUUCUAAGGUGAGCGAGCGAACUCUCGUUAAGGAACUCGGCAAAAUGACCCCGUAACUUCGGGAGAAGGGGUGCUCUUUAGGGUUAACGCCCAGAAGAGCCGCAGUGAAUAGGCCCAAGCGACUGUUUAUCAAAAACACAGGUCUCUGCUAAACCGUAAGGUGAUGUAUAGGGGCUGACGCCUGCCCGGUGCUGGAAGGUUAAGAGGAGUGGUUAGCUUCUGCGAAGCUACGAAUCGAAGCCCCAGUAAACGGCGGCCGUAACUAUAACGGUCCUAAGGUAGCGAAAUUCCUUGUCGGGUAAGUUCCGACCCGCACGAAAGGCGUAACGAUUUGGGCACUGUCUCAACGAGAGACUCGGUGAAAUCAUAGUACCUGUGAAGAUGCAGGUUACCCGCGACAGGACGGAAAGACCCCGUGGAGCUUUACUGUAGCCUGAUAUUGAAAUUCGGCACAGCUUGUACAGGAUAGGUAGGAGCCUUUGAAACGUGAGCGCUAGCUUACGUGGAGGCGCUGGUGGGAUACUACCCUAGCUGUGUUGGCUUUCUAACCCGCACCACUUAUCGUGGUGGGAGACAGUGUCAGGCGGGCAGUUUGACUGGGGCGGUCGCCUCCUAAAAGGUAACGGAGGCGCUCAAAGGUUCCCUCAGAAUGGUUGGAAAUCAUUCAUAGAGUGUAAAGGCAUAAGGGAGCUUGACUGCGAGACCUACAAGUCGAGCAGGGUCGAAAGACGGACUUAGUGAUCCGGUGGUUCCGCAUGGAAGGGCCAUCGCUCAACGGAUAAAAGCUACCCCGGGGAUAACAGGCUUAUCUCCCCCAAGAGUUCACAUCGACGGGGAGGUUUGGCACCUCGAUGUCGGCUCAUCGCAUCCUGGGGCUGUAGUCGGUCCCAAGGGUUGGGCUGUUCGCCCAUUAAAGCGGUACGCGAGCUGGGUUCAGAACGUCGUGAGACAGUUCGGUCCCUAUCCGUCGUGGGCGUA